AUUUUAUUAGUAUAAUAAUGUAUAGUUGACUUCCAAUCAACAGGUCUAAUAAUUAGAUAAAAUA
rnacentral:tRNA from 1 species